GAGGGAGGGACGGGGGCGGUGC
rnacentral:ncRNA from 2 species